GUGCUCACUUUAACAGCACCUGUACUAAAAUUGGAAUGACACAGAGAAGAUUAGUGUGGUCCCUACACAAGGAUGAUAUGCAAAUGUGUGGAGUGUUCCAUAUUUUU